CCUGAAAAUGCCUGGACAGAGUAAACGCGACCUGCUGCCGGGACAGGACACAGCACCCUUUACUCUCUGGUCUCCCUGUUACACCUUUGGAAAGUAGCCCACGUUCUUGAAUAUUCUGGGAUUUUCCUUUCUGAAUACUUUUCUGACUAUUUUGUUCAUUCCUUUUUCUCUUUGCAUUUCAGUGUGGGAACUUUCUAGUGACCUGUCCUCAAGCUUACUGACUCUCUCCCUGCCCUUUCCAGUCCAGUGACGAGCCCAUGGAAGGCAUUCUUCAUUUCUGUCACAGCGUUUUUAGGUUCUAGCAUUUCCAUUGGAUUCUUUCUUAGAGUUUCCAUCUCUGCUUACAUUUCAUGUCUGUUCUUCAUACGUGUUUCCUUGUCUAAUUUUCUAUUAGUGUCCUUAACAUAUAAGUAACAGUUAUUUUAUUUUCCUGUCUGAUAAUUCCAGAAGAAGAGCAUAUCUGAGUCUGGUUGUGAUGCUUACAUUGUCUCCAUAGAUAGUUUCUCUUGCCUUUGAGCAUGUCUUGUAAUUUUCUGUUGAAAGCAGUCAUCUGUUGGAUAACAAGAACUGAGAUGAAUAGACCAUCAGAUGAGAUUUCAUGCUCUUCUGGCUAUGAGUUUGGCUGUUUAGUGUCUGCUGUAGCUGUAGGUGACAGAGGUUUCAAAUUUCUCUGAGUCCUUGUUUCUGUCUCACCUGUUGACGUUGGGCUUCCCUAGGUACUGCUCCUCAGGGAGAGUGUACGUCACGGCUGUCAGCUCCACUGCACUGUUGUUGAACUGGAGGCCCCGUGUGUGGUGCUACUGCCUGGGGGAGGGGGCCGCUUUCUGCAAGACUGGUUAAAUCUCAGUCACUCGUGGGCCUGUGUCCCUGGGCUGUGACCCUCACAGUGUUUCUUAGCUUCCCCCUUGGGUGAGACUCAAAGGCUGGAGUGGCUGGAGUGGGAGAGAUGCCGUUCCCCAGGAGGUCUGGUAAGGUCUUCCCUGGAGAGUGGGCCUUGGUUAUGGGGAAGGCGCUGGGUGUAUUUCGCAAGGAUUACUCUUCCCUUUCCCCUUUCUGACCCACGUGGGGGUCUUUCUCAGAUCUUCUGCAAGAGCCUGGUGGGGUUCCUGGAGGUAAAGCCCAGAAAAGUAUGAGGGCCCCUCAGACUGUGUCUCCCAGGACUUUCUCCCUCCCAGCCAGCCCACACUCAGCCUCUGGAAAACCACCCCAAUUGCCAGUGGAGUGCUCCCAUCAGCAUGAUGUCAGCAGCUUCUCUUCCAGGGUAUUUCGACUCCAAACAGAGUGUCCCUCCGUUCCAGGCAUGGAGAUGUAGUGGGGUUUCUGUGUCCCACACUUCCAGCUGCAUUGUCACCUCUCAGGAACCACAGCAGCGGGACUGUGAGACCUGCCCAUCCACUUGGAAUGCACCAUGCUCCUCCCUCCAACCUGAAAACAUUCCAGUUCUGCAAUACCUAACCCAGAAGGCUGCUGCUGGGAAUGGAAUCGGAGUUUCCCAGUAUGGUGCCACACUACACACAUCCAUACACACACACGAGCGUCCAAACAAAUGGAGCCCAUAGUUAGUCCUCUCGGAGUGAGGUCUCUAAUACUUUCAAAGAAAUUGAGGCCCCCUUGACCAAUCUCCAGCAAGCUGGAACAAAACCCAUUGAAGCAGACGCCAAGAAAUGAAAGGACAAAUAGGACUUGGUCAGUUUUAAUGAGGAAACUCACCAAAACGAUGUCCAUUCCAAACCAGAAGCAAAAGCAAGC
rnacentral:lncRNA from 1 species